CCUUGACUUUGUGUGUAUCUCAGCCGUUCGCAGCGUGAUGCCAAAGAUGUCCUCGUGGUAGCGACUUUCGUCCUGUGGAAAAUCGAAAGAGCAGUGCAACACAAUCUGUGGAAAUAUUGCUCAUACGCCGUGUGUGGCAGGGCGGAAACCCCUCCACUCGCGGUAUUUAUGGCUAAAGCUCAACGUUAUACCGCUAAGGAUACUUACCCGCAGUGUUAGCAAAAAUGUCUCAACUUCCGCCUCGCUUUUCUGCUCUUUGCCGGCAAUGCACUUCCUGUCAAAGAGAAAAGGAAUACGGGAAUAUGGGACGUAAUCUGUGGGGACGUUGCAACAAGAUUUACAAAGUGACGAGCUGAAAGGGAAGCUGUAAAGCACACUAUCACUCUAUUCUUCUAAAGUCCUUUUAGUAAUAUUAGCUAAAUUUACUAAAACCCAUUUCGCCUUGCUCUUUAAUCGCCUAAUAACUUCUUAGUUCACUUUUAGUCAUUAUUACUUCUUCAUAAUUACAGGAAUCAGGUAGAGCAUCGUGUGUAUUUUUUCCUAAGAACCUUUCCAAUUACCAAACGCAACAGAUGCGACAGUCUUAUCUGCCCUGGUUUCAAUUAAACUAAACCGCUUAAGACUACGAGCACAUUUCCAUUGAAAUCCUCCCGUAAGGACAGCCCCAUUAUGCAAUAUCCUGUGUGUAUGGAUUGAGAGACAGCCCCUAUUUCACAAUAAGGCACUUAAUCAGAAGCUUUGAAAAAAUGCGAGGCAGAGAAACGAAAUAUAAAAGCCAAGCGAUGGCAAAAUACCUGACCGUUGGGCAUUGGAAAACAGAAAACUCCCAAUGGUGUCUCCGGGGAAAGGGCCCCCUGCCUCCCAUGUCCUGGGAAUGAGCAGCCACUCCUCGGCCCAAGCACACAAAGGCAAUCAAACUUAAGGCAGAGCAAACCUUACCUGAUGGUCUGGUACACAUGCUCGGCCAUUGUGACAUCGCCGCAGACGUAGAUGUGGCCCCGCUCCUGGACAAUCAACUGGUACAACGAAUCGAAUUCCUGCUCAAUCAGGUCCUGCACAUAUGUCUGCAAUGCACGGGCGAUUCGAUGCCAAAUCGAAAAACAAAUCAUUAUUUAAACGGGAAUUGCUCAGGUACAGAGGGAAAAAAAUCAUGUUUUGUGGUAAGUAAUAUGUGUUUCGAAUAAAAUAAAAGGAAUGAUAUGUUUUCUGUGUAAAACAUUUUGUAAUAGACAAAGUUUUAUGGCUUACCACCCAAACCUACCUUAGGAAUGGCCUGCUCCCUGGACAGAGCGAGAAAAACUCGAUCCAGGAUUUGAUCCUUCUGUAGCUCUGCCUUCUCCUCGGCGUACAAGUCCACAUCCCGAUUCCGGCAGCCGAAGAAGAGCCACAUCUUGGGCAAUUUAGCCGUGGGAUCAAGGUCGCGUAGCACCUGGAACUCCUGCCAGAAGGAUCGGAAUGGAGCGAUUCCAGUGCCAGGACCAAUCAGAAUAAUGGGACGACUCCGAUCGCUGGGCAAAUGGAAGCCCAAGGCGCUCCUCACGAACAUAAACAGCUCGUCGUCCGCCCGCAAACCGGAUAGGUAGUUGGAGCACACGCCAUACCGCUCGUCACCCUGGCCAUCCUCACAGCGGUACUUCACGAUGGCCACAGUCAGGUGGAUUUCGUCACUAACGCGGCGCGGCGACGAGGAAAUGGAGUAGAAACGAGGCUGCAGCGGCGUUAGUUGGGCCAGCAGAAGGGGAGCCGGUGGCCGGCACGAGGGGAACUCCUCGAGAACGUCCAGCAGGUGGGGCAG